rnacentral:rRNA from 1 species
CAGAGGUUACUGCUAUCGAGGUUCGACUAAGCCAUGCGAGUCGAAUGUAGCAAUACAUGGCGUACUGCUCAGUAACACGUGGACAACCUGCCCUUAGGUUGGGUAUAAACCCGGGAAACUGGGUAUAAUCCCCUAUAAGUCUCGGCUGCUGGAAUGCACCGAGAUUAAAAGCUCCGGCGCCUAAGGAUGGGUCUGCGGCCUAUCAGGUAGUAGUGGGUGUAGCGUACCUACUAGCCUACGACGGGUACGGGUUGUGAGAGCAAGAGCCCGGAGAUGGAUUCUGAGACACGAAUCCAGGCCCUACGGGGUGCAGCAGGCGCGAAAACUUUACAAUGCUGGCAACAGCGAUAAGGGAACCUCGAGUGCCAGGUUACAAAUCUGGCUGUCGAGAUGCCUAAAAAGCAUUUCAUAGCAAGGGCCGGGCAAGACCGGUGCCAGCCGCCGCGGUAACACCGGCGGCUCGAGUGGUAACCGUUAUUAUUGGGUCUAAAGGGUCUGUAGCCGGCCGGAUAAGUCUCUUGAGAAAUCUGGCAGCUUAACUGUCAGGCUUUCAGGAGAUACUGUCUGGCUCGAGGCCGGGAGAGGUGAGAGGUACUUCAGGGGUAGGGGUGAAAUCUUGUAAUCCUUGAAGGACCACCAGUGGCGAAGGCGUCUCACCAGAACGGACCUGACGGCAAGGGACGAAAGCUAGGGGCACGAACCGGAUUAGAUACCCGGGUAGUCCUAGCCGUAAACGAUACUCGCUAGGCGUCGGCCACGGUGCGACCGUUGUCGGUGCCGUAGGGAAGCCGUGAAGCGAGCCACCUGGGAAGUACGGCCGCAAGGCUGAAACUUAAAGGAAUUGGCGGGGGAGCACCACAACGGGUGGAGCUUGCGGUUUAAUUGGAUUCAACGCCGGAAAUCUUACCGGGACCGACAGCAAUAUGAAGGCCAGGCUGAAGACUUUGCCGGAUUAGCUGAAAGGUGGUGCAUGGCCGUCGUCAGUUCGUACUGUGAAGCAUCCUGUUAAGUCAGGCAACGAGCGGACCCA